rnacentral:rRNA from 1 species
GAGUUUGAUCCUGGCUCAGGAUGAACGCUAGCGGCAGGCCUAAUACAUGCAAGUCGAACGGGAUCGGGGGCUUCGGUCCCCGUGAGAGUGGCGCACGGGUGCGUAACGCGUGAGCAACCUGCCCGUCCCAGGGGGAUAGCCCGGAGAAAUCCGGAUUAAUACCGCAUGAGAAUGCAGGUCCGCAUGGGCCUUCAUUUAAAUAUUCAUAGGGGACGGAUGGGCUCGCGUGACAUUAGCUGGUUGGCGGGGUAACGGCCCACCAAGGCGACGAUGUCUAGGGGCUCUGAGAGGAGAAACCCCCACACUGGUACUGAGACACGGACCAGACUCCUACGGGAGGCAGCAGUAAGGAAUAUUGGUCAAUGGGGGGAACCCUGAACCAGCCAUGCCGCGUGCAGGAAGACGGCCCUACGGGUUGUAAACUGCUUUUGCACGGGAAUAACCCCGGUAUGUAUACCGGGCUGAAUGUACCGUGAGAAUAAGGAUCGGCUAACUCCGUG